AUAAACGCUGUGAAAAAGAGGAGUAGUUUUAAUAUUUCUUUAAGAGAGAUGAUGGUUGGUGUAAAUCAUUAGGAAUGUAAAAUGAAUGGAGCUUUGGAGUGUAUUAUUUUAAAGAUGGGCUUAAGCCAAGAAGGGUGGAACCGCGGAAUAGUUAUUUCGUCCCUUUG
rnacentral:ncRNA from 1 species